rnacentral:rRNA from 1 species
UGGGGAAUAUUGCACAAUGGGCGGAAGCCUGAUGCAGCGACGCCGCGUGGGGGAUGAAGGCCUUCGGGUUGUAAACUCCUUUCGACAGGGACGAAGCGUAAGUGACGGUACCUGUAUAAGAAGCACCGGCUAACUACGUGCCAGCAGCCGCGGUAAUACGUAGGGUGCGAGCGUUGUCCGGAAUUACUGGGCGUAAAGAGCUCGUAGGUGGUUUGUCGCGUCGUCUGUGAAAUUCCGGGGCUUAACUCCGGGCGUGCAGGCGAUACGGGCUGACUUGAGUGCUGUAGGGGAGACUGGAAUUCCUGGUGUAGCGGUGAAAUGCGCAGAUAUCAGGAGGAACACCGAUGGCGAAGGCAGGUCUCUGGGCAGUAACUGACGCUGAGGAGCGAAAGCAUGGGUAGCGAACAGGAUUAGAUACCCUGGUAGUCCGUGCCGUAAACGGUGGGCGCUAGGUGUAGGGGGCUUCCACGUCUUCUGUGCCGUAGCUAACGCAUUAAGCGCCCCGCCUGGGGAGUACGGCCGCAAGGCUA